UGUAACUGAGAACGGAAAGACCAUAAGCAACCACUUCGGACGGGCACCUUAUUUUAAGGUGAUCACCCUUCAGGAGAAUAAGAUUGUUGCUGAAGAAACACGGAACAAACCUUAUCAUGGUCAAAUGGAAGGGCACCCGCAUACUCACGAUCAUGCUUUACAUGCAGAUAUGUUUGCGCCCAUCGCUGAUUGUGAUAUCCUGCUUUGCGGCGGGAUGGGUGAUCCA
rnacentral:misc_RNA from 1 species